GAACGCGAAGAACCUUACGGGUCUUGUACACACCGAUGCCCGCUCCGUAAUGGGAGUUUUUCUUCGGAACAUCGGUGACAGGUGGUGCAUGGUUGUCGUCAGCUCGUGUCGUGAGAUGUUGGGUUAAGUCCCGCAACGAGCGCAACCCCUAUCUUUAGUAGCCAGCAUUUAAGGUGGGCACUCUAGAGAGACUGCCAGGGAUAACCUGGAGGAAGGUGGGGAUGACGUCAAAUCAUCAUGCCCCUUAUGACCAGGGCUACACACGUGCUACAAUGGCGUAAACAAAGGGAAGCAAAGCUGUGAGGCCGAGCAAAUCCCAAAAAUAACGUCUCAGUUCGGAUUGUAGUCUGCAACUCGACUACAUGAAGCUGGAAUCGCUAGUAAUCGCGAAUCAGAAUGUCGCGGUGAAUACKUUCCCGGGUCUUGUACACACCGA
rnacentral:rRNA from 1 species